GGAGGAGAUCCCAGAGCCAGAAAUGAAGCCGGCCAUAGACAACUGCCGGGAGACUCCAGACAUCCUGAACACGAACAUCUGUCAGGAGGAAGACAUGAUUGGGCAGGAGAGCAGUGACACUGGCCCCUGCCACUCACAGGUAAGCAGAAAGUAACACAUGAAUGGAAAAUAU